rnacentral:rRNA from 1 species
GGGUUGUGAGGUUAAGCGACUAAGCGUACACGGUGGAUGCCCUGGCAGUCAGAGGCGAUGAAGGACGUGCUAAUCUGCGAAAAGCGUCGGUAAGGUGAUAUGAACCGUUACAGCCGGCGAUGUCCGAAUGGGGAAACCCAGUGCAAUUCGUUGCACUAUCGUUAACUGAAUACAUAGGUUAACGAGGCGAACCGGGGGAACUGAAACAUCUAAGUACCCCGAGGAAAAGAAAUCAACCGAGAUUCCCCCAGUAGCGGCGAGCGAACGGGGAGCAGCCCAGAGUCUGAAUCAGCUUGUGUGUUAGUGGAACGGUCUGGAAAGUCCGACGGUACAGGGUGAUAGUCCCGUACACCAAAAUGCACAGGCUGUGAACUCGAAGAGUAGGGCGGGACACGUGGUAUCCUGUCUGAAUAUGGGGGGACCAUCCUCCAAGGCUAAAUACUCCUGACUGACCGAUAGUGAACCAGUACCGUGAGGGAAAGGCGAAAAGAACCCCGGCGAGGGGAGUGAAAAAGAACCUGAAACCGUGUACGUACAAGCAGUGGGAGCACCUUCGGGUGUGACUGCGUACCUUUUGUAUAAUGGGUCAGCGACUUAUAUUCUGUAGCAAGGUUAACCGUAUAGGGGAGCCGCAGGGAAACCGAGUCUUAACUGGGCGUUAAGUUGCAGGGUAUAGACCCGAAACCCGGUGAUCUAGCCAUGGGCAGGUUGAAGGUUGGGUAACACUAACUGGAGGACCGAACCGACUAAUGUUGAAAAAUUAGCGGAUGACUUGUGGCUGGGGGUGAAAGGCCAAUCAAACCGGGAGAUAGCUGGUUCUCCCCGAAAGCUAUUUAGGUAGCGCCUCGUGAAUUCAUCUUCGGGGGUAGAGCACUGUUUCGGCUAGGGGGUCAUCCCGACUUACCAACCCGAUGCAAACUACGAAUACCGAAGAAUGUUAUCACGGGAGACACACGGCGGGUGCUAACGUCCGUCGUGAAGAGGGAAACAACCCAGACCGCCAGCUAAGGUCCCAAAGUCACAGUUAAGUGGGAAACGAUGUGGGAAGGCACAGACAGCCAGGAUGUUGGCUUAGAAGCAGCCAUCAUUUAAAGAAAGCGUAAUAGCUCACUGGUCGAGUCGGCCUGCGCGGAAGAUGUAACGGGGCUAAACUGUGCACCGAAGCUGCGGCAGCGACACUAUGUGUUGUUGGGUAGGGGAGCGUUCUGUAAGCCUGCGAAGGUGGCCUGUGAGGGUUGCUGGAGGUAUCAGAAGUGCGAAUGCUGACAUAAGUAACGAUAAUGCGGGUGAAAAGCCCGCACGCCGGAAGACCAAGGGUUCCUGUCCAACGUUAAUCGGGGCAGGGUGAGUCGACCCCUAAGGCGAGGCCGAAAGGCGUAGUCGAUGGGAAACAGGUUAAUAUUCCUGUACUUGGUGUUACUGCGAAGGGGGGACGGAGAAGGCUAUGUUAGCCGGGCGACGGUUGUCCCGGUUUAAGCAUGUAGGCGGAGGUUCCAGGUAAAUCCGGUACCUUAUUAACGCUGAGGUGUGAUGACGAGGCACUACGGUGCUGAAGUAACAAAUGCCCUGCUUCCAGGAAAAGCCUCUAAGCAUCAGGUAACAUUAAAUCGUACCCCAAACCGACACAGGUGGUCAGGUAGAGAAUACCAAGGCGCUUGAGAGAACUCGGGUGAAGGAACUAGGCAAAAUGGUGCCGUAACUUCGGGAGAAGGCACGCUGAUAUGUAGGUGAAGCCCCUGCGGGUGGAGCUGAAAUCAGUCGAAGAUACCAGCUGGCUGCAACUGUUUAUUAAAAACACAGCACUGUGCAAACACGAAAGUGGACGUAUACGGUGUGACGCCUGCCCGGUGCCGGAAGGUUAAUUGAUGGGGUUAUCCGUAAGGAGAAGCUCUUGAUCGAAGCCCCGGUAAACGGCGGCCGUAACUAUAACGGUCCUAAGGUAGCGAAAUUCCUUGUCGGGUAAGUUCCGACCUGCACGAAUGGCGUAAUGAUGGCCAGGCUGUCUCCACCCGAGACUCAGUGAAAUUGAACUCGCUGUGAAGAUGCAGUGUACCCGCGGCAAGACGGAAAGACCCCGUGAACCUUUACUAUAGCUUGACACUGAACAUUGAGCCUUGAUGUGUAGGAUAGGUGGGAGGCUUUGAAGCGUGGACGCCAGUCUGCGUGGAGCCAACCUUGAAAUACCACCCUUUAAUGUUUGAUGUUCUAACGUUGGCCCCUUAUCGGGGUUGCGGACAGUGUCUGGUGGGUAGUUUGACUGGGGCGGUCUCCUCCCAAAGAGUAACGGAGGAGCACGAAGGUUAGCUAAUCCUGGUCGGACAUCAGGAGGUUAGUGCAAUGGCAUAAGCUAGCUUGACUGCGAGCGUGACGGCGCGAGCAGGUGCGAAAGCAGGUCAUAGUGAUCCGGUGGUUCUGAAUGGAAGGGCCAUCGCUCAACGGAUAAAAGGUACUCCGGGGAUAACAGGCUGAUACCGCCCAAGAGUUCAUAUCGACGGCGGUGUUUGGCACCUCGAUGUCGGCUCAUCACAUCCUGGGGCUGAAGUAGGUCCCAAGGGUAUGGCUGUUCGCCAUUUAAAGUGGUACGCGAGCUGGGUUUAGAACGUCGUGAGACAGUUCGGUCCCUAUCUGCCGUGGGCGCUGGAGAAUUGAGGGGGGCUGCUCCUAGUACGAGAGGACCGGAGUGGACGCAUCACUGGUGUUCGGGUUGUCAUGCCAAUGGCAUUGCCCGGUAGCUAAAUGCGGAAGAGAUAAGUGCUGAAAGCAUCUAAGCACGAAACUUGCCCCGAGAUGAGUUCUCCCUGAGACUUUAAGUCUCCUGAAGGAACGUUAAAGACGAUGACGUUGAUAGGUCGGGUGUGUAAGCGUAGCGAUACGUUGAGCUAACCGAUACUAAUGAACCGUGAGGCUUAACCUUA